ACGUAGGGAGCAAGCGUUGUCCGGAUUUACUGGGUGUAAAGGGUGCGUAGGCGGAUUGGCAAGUCAGAAGUGAAAUCCAUGGGCUUAACCCAUGAACUGCUUUUGAAACUGUUAGUCUUGAGUGAAGUAGAGGUAGGCGGAAUUCCCGGUGUAGCGGUGAAAUGCGUAGAGAUCGGGAGGAACACCAGUGGCGAAGGCGGCCUACUGGGCUUUAACUGACGCUAAGGCACGAAAGUGUGGGUAGCAAACAG
rnacentral:rRNA from 1 species